UCUGGAGCGUUGACUGCACAUAUAAUUAUGGGUCUUAUAUUUUAUAAAGGAGGGAGCAUGUAUAUUUCUCGAAUAGGCUUGUAUCAUUAAUUACCGAUUCCCAGACAACCUACCGUUUUAUUAUUGGCAUCUGGAUUUAGACUUGGUCCGUCUUCAUCUGCUACAUGCUUAGAUUAUUUUGCUGAGUGACGGAGCAUGAUUAUUUUGCUGAGUAACGGAGCAUGAUUAUUUUGCUGAGUAUCUACUUUCAGUCUUGCUUCAGCUUCAUGAAGGCCGGUUAAACAUACAUUUUUGCAGGGUUAGCUACUUCUUCUCAACAUAGGGAAUGGCCAGGGGAAGAGUUUGAGAUAUGUAAAGGUCUUCUUCUUAUACUAGUUGUGCUUGUGCAACAAUCUGUUGUUCAGGCUAGAAGAACUGAACAAGGUGUCAAUUCCUGCACCAGUAGUGUGACACCCUGUUGAAAGUGUCAGUCAAUUGUUGAAACUUGCCCAUCAAACACAACCUUUACGGCCUUGAUCUGGAGCUUGAGAAGCAGUUUUAUACUUGUAUAGUUAAACUGUCAACUAUGCAAAAAUAUUUGGAGAAUCUACUCCUUAAAAGGGCACUGGUCUAUGGGCAACUCCUGUAGUUAGUCUGAAAACCAAAGGAAGGAAGCAAGUAUUUUUCCUUGUCGAGUUGCUGUCAUGAAGUAAUCGCGAUGUGAGAGGGCAUUAAUUGAUGGCUGUCUAAUGAUGAAGUUGUGUGUAUGUAGAGGAGGACUGUACUGAAUCAGCUCCCCAACAAGCUACUACUGCAUGCACAUGUCCCUGUACAACUCACAUGGCUGUUAUCUCCUUCUUCUUACUCAUCUGCUUGAUAUAUGCCCUGUUUCUUGAUUGAGUAGCCCGGGCCAUGGCUCUAGUAUAACUUUGUGUUGUGAAUUCAAAUGGUUUACUUGGAUCUAGAAGAAUUUUUACCUCCAUUCACGUCUGAAUCUUUGUUUUCCCUGAAAAUGGAGUUCAGAAGGGUGAGUAAAACAGAGUAGUAGUUGAUUUCCCGGCAGACACUGGGAGGAAAAUUAACAGGGUCUGCACUGCAUUGACUUGAGAAUUAAGUAGAGAGCAAGGGUGGGGCUUUGGGGGAUUUAUUGGCGGCUGGUCCUUGAACGAUUGGCAGGUCAUAUCAUUCUCAUGGUAUCAUGGCUAGCAGCCACCUAGCUAGUGUGGUCACUAGAUCCAAUCCAUCACGACAAAAUGGCUUCAAUUUGAAUUAGGAGCAAGUGAAAAGAUGAAUAUUUGAUUUGCAGACAUUGUAGCGCCUGGAGAUAGCUCUCUGCCUCUGCGUACGUUGGGCUGUCUUGUACUCUUGUGGUUGACAUAUUAUUCAGCGGUGGUACCACAGCAAAGUCCCCAUUAGGAAAGGCUGCUCACUCACUCAGCACUACUCGUACUUGAUCAGGGGGAAAUAACUGUAUGUGGUGGAGACCUGAACCUGAAGAUGAAGAGUAGGUGUGGCGGUAGCUGCAGUGCAGAAACCAAAAGCAGCUAGCGAAGAUCCUAUAUACAGAUGGAGUUGAUGGCUCAUGAUUCCUGAUUUUAUUCCUUGCAUCAGCAGCAGCAGCAGCAAUCAUACAAGCUGUCCUGGUCCUGGUCCUGUUCUUGAAUUCAAGACACGGCAGAGCUCUGCUUGUGCCUACCAAGCAAGGCCAGUACGGAGGAUUAGAUAUGCACAGUGAUUCAGUCUGUCUGUCUGUCAUGGCUAGAUUAUAUUACAAGAGAGAUCAAUUAAGCUACAAAGGCUACACGACCGAAUGCCAUACAUAUGUACUGUCU